rnacentral:rRNA from 1 species
AUUGAACGCUGGCGGCAGGCCUAACACAUGCAAGUCGAGCGAGCGGCGGACGGGUGAGUAAUGUCUGGAAACCGCCUUAUGGAGGGGGAUAACUAAUGGAAACGGUAGCCAAUACCGCCUACCAUCCGAUGUUCCCCAAUGGGAUUAGCUAGUAGGUGGGGUAACGGCUCACCUAGGAGACGAUCCCUAGCUGGGCUGAGAGGAGGACCAGCCACACUGGAACUGAGACACGGUCCAGACUCCUACGGGAGGCAGCAGUGGGGAAUAUUGCACAAUGGGCGCAAGCCUGAUGCAGCCAUGCCGCGUGUGUGAAGAAGGCCUUCGGGUUGUAAAGCACUUUCAGCGGGGAGGCGUUACCCGCAGAAGAAGCACCGGCUAACUCCGUGCCAGCAGCCGCGGUAAUUC